UUUCCGUAGGUGAACCUGCGGAAGGAUCAUUACC
rnacentral:rRNA from 2 species